AGAUUAAGUUAUUAAGGGCGCACGGUGGAUGCCUUGGCACUAGAAGCCGACGAAGGACGUUACUAACGACGAUAUGCUUUGGGUAGCUGUAAGU
rnacentral:rRNA from 1 species